CGUGAGUUAAAUAGAGUUUAACAGGGUCAGAGUCUUUAAUGUGCUAGUCUGCUGAACCAGUUUCCAAGGGAGAAGGUGGGUAUGCAGAAUACCCUGGUUGUAUUUGACCACAUCUAGAUAUUUUUUUUUUUUCAGCAUCUUCAAGGAGAAUUGUAUUCUAUGUAAAACAUGUUGAACAUUAUUGAUUUAAACUUAAGAAAGUGGUGAGAAUUUCCUAAGCUCUUCAGAGGGAGAACUUCAGAGAGUAAACAUGUGAGUGCCCCUGGCUGCAGGCAGGGACGAAAGUGAGAACAAAAACCCGAAGCCAAGAAAAGAGGCUGCAGCCAUGACUGAGGUUCAAAACACAGGUGUGCAUGUGUAUAAUCACUGAUGAAAGCAGUCUAGGAAGAAAUCCUGCAAGAGAUGCCAUCAAUCCAAAGAGCGAAACCAGAUGGGCAGAUUUUAAUUUUUUCUAAUUACUAAGGAAAAUGGGAAAGUCUUUUGUAACUCUUGUCAACCUAAAGAGAGAAGUCAGCCAUGAACAUUCUUCUGUGUUUCUCAGUGUUCCCAGG
rnacentral:lncRNA from 1 species